CACGGGGGGAGCGAACGUUGUUCGGAAUCACUGGGCGUAAAGGGCGUGUAGGCGGUUCGGUAAGUGGAAUGUGAAAUCCCCCGGCUUACCCGGGGAACUGCAUCCCAUACUGCUGGACUUGAGUGCGGGAGAGGAUGGAGGAAUUCCUGGUGUAGCGGUGAAAUGCGUAGAUAUCAGGAGGAACACCGGUGGCGAAGGCGACAUCCUGGACCACGACUGACGCUGAGGAGCGAAAGCCAGGGGAGCAAACGGG
rnacentral:rRNA from 1 species